UACGGGGGGGGCAAGCGUUGUUCGGAAUCACUGGGCGUAAAGCGCGUGUAGGCGGCAGGGCAAGUCGGAUGUGAAAUCCCAUGGCUCAACCAUGGAAGUGCACCCGAAACUGCCCAGCUCGAGUCUCGGAGAGGAAGGUGGAAUGCUUGGUGUAGAGGUGAAAUUCGUAGAUAUCAAGCGGAACACCGGUGGCGAAGGCGGCCUUCUGGACGAUGACUGACGCUGAGACGCGAAAGCGUGGGGAGCAAACAGG
rnacentral:rRNA from 1 species